rnacentral:lncRNA from 1 species
GUAUCUCUGGCUGUGCCCUGUAGUGUGCUCAUGUCCUGAUGACAUGGGAGGCUGGCCCCUCUGGCCCAGUGGCCGUUUUCUUGGCGGAGACUGGCCUGUUGCCACCACUCCUGAGGCCCAGAGCAGCGGCUGGUGCAGGAAGUUCUGCUUCCUUCCCUCCCCACGGGACAUUCUGUCUGAGGUCUGACAACUCCCCAGCUAGAAGACAGACCCUCAAAGGUGCACAGUGGUUGCCUCCGGGAGAUGACAACUGUGUGAGUGCCCACCAUGGCCCACCAGAAGUGUGAGAGUGUGGGGAGCGGCAUGUUGUACCACAGGGCAAGGCCAGGCCCUGUCCCGCAGUGCCAGGAGCCCAAGAGCGAGGACGUGGAGCUGCCAUUGGAGGCCAUGUACCUGAGGGCCUGGAGCUGGCCGCCCUGUGGCCAGAGAGCCCCAUGCCCGAAGAACAGGAGUGCCACAACCACAGCCCCGAUGGGGACUCCAGCUCCAACUACGUGAACAACGCCUCCAGGGCGGGAGGACUAUGACCAGGGCCUCUCUGAGGAGGAGGAGAGGGCAUCACCUACUACGUCCGCUACUGCCCCGAGGACGACGGCUACCUGGAGGGCAUGGACUGCAACGGAGAGGAGUACCUGUCCCACACAGCGUGCACCCUGUGGACACCGACGAGUGCCAGGAGGCCAUCAGUGGCGGAACGGACGGAGUCGGCAGGCCCACACCCCCAGGGCCACAGGGCUGAAGGCAGCCAGGACUACCUGGAGGGCUACCUGCCCAUCCCGGUGUUUGAGCCCUCCAUCCUAGAAGCCUGUGACCAGGAAGAAGAUGGCCCCCACUGUCCCAGCAAAGAGGGCUACCAGGACUACUACCCGGCAGAGGCCAACGAGAACACUGGCGCCUCCCCCUAUUGCCUGAGGUGUGGGGAUGGGGACCUGGAGGACCAGGAGAAGGACAUCGACCAGAUCGUGGCCGAGAUCAAGAUGAGCCUGAGCAUGAUGAGCAUCACCAGUGCCAAUGAGGCCAGCCCGGAGCAUGGGCCUGAGCCAGGGCCUGGGGACUCUGCAGAGGCCUGCCUGCCUUGCCAGCAAGGCCCCAGCAGGCACGAGGCGAGGGCCAAGUCACUGUCAACCUCCCUUCCAAGGCCAAGCACCGCGGAGAUCCCCAGAGAGGCUUCAAUCCCAACACCAGGACCCCAGAGGAGAGGCCGAAGUGGCCCCACGAGCAGCAGAGUCAGCGUGCAUUCUAAUAAACACGUUUGAAAAGCUGCCUUCCAAAAAAAAACCCUCACUGUGAGUAUAUAAAGAAGAUGUGAUUGAUUAUUGGACUUGUGUAAAGGAACUUCUGUUUGUCUAGUUAUGUGGAGUGCUUUCAUAUUUUUUAAAGCCUUAGGUAUUUCUUCUGAGAAGAGUUCAUGAAUUUGAGUGUGUUUGUGUGUAGGGGUGUGUGUGUGUGUGUGUGUGUGUGUGUGUGUGUGUGUACUGAGAGCUUGGGUUUGGAAUAGAAAUCUUAUUGUCACUUGAAUUUUCAGCACUUGUAUUUAGAUAUCUUAUGUUUUCUCUAAAGCACGUUCAGUGUCAGUUGACUUCACUUUGGGGGUGUUCCUGUGAUUCACAGCAAUUCCAUGUUUUCGGGGCUGUGGGAUGCACAGGAACUCCCAUGGUACUAGCGGAUGUUGGCGGAGCUCUCCCCUAAGGCCAGGAGGCCCUGGACCCUGUGUCUGGGCUUUAGGCCAGAGCGCCUCUCUGUGUUUCUCUUUGGUCUUUGGCAGGGCCUGGGCUUGUCCCGCAACAAUGGCGGAGGCAACGCAGGGAUUGAUGUGGGCUGUGCACAGUUUGUGACACGCUGUGUCUUGUUGUGACAAAUGGUAUCUCUGGUCAAGUUCUUGUCAAGGUAAAUGAUCUUUAGAGCCUGCUGGGGAGUAAGCAAGACCCGAUGUUUUUCUGGUUUUGUGCUUCAUGCUAACCAGAUACUAAUUUGGGUGGAAAAAUCCCAGAGAUCUUGGAGUUGGAGAGCUGGGAAGUGAAUGAAUGGGAAUGAAUGAAUGGGUCGGUGGUAGUUGCUGCUUAAAAGGGCGCAUACAUAUACUGGCUUCUAACCUGUACUGGCCUUCGUGGUUAAAGAUGCAUUUAUAUACUGUACCUUGGCCAGGAAGCUUGUCUUUUGACCUUUGCCCAAAGUGGGUAUGAAGGCACUUCCAAAAAUGCCAGUAAAUUCACUUCUAAACUUGAUAAUUAUAAAUUGUGUCAGUUGGUAAAUUCUGUCUUACAGAGAAGUAUUUUGUAGUAAAUAACAUAUUUUUAAAAAUAAAAUUUGCUUUUUAGUAAGGCAAAUUCUUAGUUUUGUGAAGCGUCUGUAAAUAACACAUCUCAUCUUUUAAAAUAUAAGGACUUGAAUUUAUGUAAUGAUUCAGGCUUUUCCAAGUUAAAAUGGUAGUCAUUUUAAGGAAUGAAUAGUUUGGGAUAUUUAUUUUAAACAAAAUAAGGCAUUGAUCUUAUUCACAUAGCCAUAUAAGUGAAAUGUUUCUUAUUUUAAAUUAGAUUAUGUUGUAACUUUUUUUUUGGUUUUGCUUUAUAUUUGACGGAUUGCUUUUCUUUAUUCCUAAGGCAUCCGUUAGUUGAUUUGUUCAAAAUUGUUCCGUUUUUAAAAGCUGUUAACUGUUGUUUGUCAAUUCAAAGCUGGAUUUAAAAGCGAAGAUUUAAUUUUUGUCUCUCAUUUUGCAUUUAAUAUUAUUGAAGGCUUUACUAACGCUUUAAAAAACACAAAAAGUUAUUGAACAUACAUUUAUUAUCUAGAGGAAUAAAUGUGCUCCAAAUGCUUAUCACGGAACUCUGGAAAAAGACCUAUAAAUUCUCUCCAGUAUUUUAAAAAUUAGUAUCUAAAUAAUUUCAUGUUGAACUAGAUUAGUAACCUAAGUUGUCUUCAUUCAGCUUUUAAGAUGGAAAAAAAAAAAGUUUCAAAUAUACAGACUUAGGUACACAUUCAAAAUUUAUUUUCUGUUAUGCUUUUCUGGCCAAAAGGAGUUGAAGAAUUUUUUUCCUUAUCUUACGACAAAUGUUGUCGGGUUUUAAAAAAGAAAAAUAAAACCAAAAUAUAACAGUAGUUUUGAAGACUAACUCUAUAUGCAUGACUUUAAUAAUAGCAUAGUUAAAAUGACAUUUAAUAUAGAUUCAUUUCACUGGAUGAUGUCACCUUUUAAAACAGCAGUAUUUCUCAUAUCAUUUCUGGAUGGUCUUGACACAUUCUUCUAUCUUCUUCAACGUGACUUCUUUACUUCUCUGGUGUUUUCUUGAGUUAAAAUAAUGGCUUGAAGAAGAUCAUAGGAGAUUUACUGGCUCUGUGCUGUUUCUUAAAUGUUGGGCAAAACUGGGCUGCUUGAUAAAUGUAACUCAUUAAAAUGAGCUCUAUUUUCAGUGCCCCAAGCUGGCCGGGCAGUCUGACAGAAGGUCUUAUUUCCUCUGGUAGAGAAAGACUAGAGUCCAUUCUUCGGCUAGUCCAGGGCAGUGGCCACAAAGACCAGGAAAGACAUUACAUGGUAUGCCAUUGUUUAGAAGAGAUUUGCAUUUAAUGGCAUUGUUACAGGUAAAGUAUUUCCUGAGCAAAAAUCUCAUUCACUCAGUGUUUGGGAGACUGUUAAAUGUUAUAAUCAUAGUUGCCUUUCUCUGUGGAAAAGACUUAUUUUUAUUUAUAUAUAUUUUUAUUUUUAUUUUACUUUAAGUUCUGGGAGGAAAAGAUUUCUUUAAUUUGCUGUGAUCAACUUUCAGUUUUUUUUACAGUCAUGCAUACUUGUAAUCUAAAUUUCUUAAGUUUAUUUAAAAACCAGUGGGAAAAAACCUCAAGGGGAUAAAAACAAGCACAAAGUAAAACAAAGAAAUAAGCCAUCCUCCUGUGUUCUCUGUGGGCGCACAUGGAACUCCAUCACGCCUACAAGAAGGCUCAGAUUAAGAAGACAAGAUUUUGUCAGCAGUGGGACUGCCAAAGCCUACCACCCCCUUAAAGACUGAGGAAAAUUAAAAAGUAUUCUAGGCUGCAAAAAUCCCCGAAGGAAAACACCUAUUUUCCUACUAACGAGCCCAAGGAACCUCAAAAGCAUGCCUUGUUUCUGUCCUUUUCUAUUUCCGUGGUCCCCCGAAUCCGGAAAACAAAUAGAACGUAAUUUUAUGAGUCUUCCGGAAGAGUUUUUUCACCAGGAGUUACUGGCCACAGGCUCUGUUUCACCCUCUAGAAAUAGUGGUCUUUGUUAUUAGGCCUCCUGGAACCAAAUGUGAAGUCAUGUGGAAUGGACAUUAAUCCAGUAAGUAAGGAAAGAAGCUGUUGCAUUACUGGGAUUUUAAAAGUUUGAUUUACCUUUAUAUUCUUUUUCCCGUUCCCACGUUUUGUCACUUGUGUGCACAUUGCUUCACCAUUGGGCCACGAAGGUAUUGUUGUGCGGUGUUGAAACAGAAUGGAAAUGACAGGAAAUAUCGGCAGUUAUCCAGGAGAAAAUAUAAUGGCAAAGUUGUUUGUUUCUUUGUUUAUUUUGUGCUUGUUUUUAACAUUUAAUUUUAAUAAACUCUGGUAGCGGCACUGCAGUGACAGGUGGUUGAGAGUUUCUCCCUAAAGCUAUGGCACCAGUCUUCUAAUGGACUCAGCCUGUAUUCAGCCUGUGUAAUCCUGGCAGAUUCUUUCUCUAUUUCAGAAUGGGACAACAGAAUAAGCGACUUGAGAGGAAGAGGAAGAAGAGGUGAUGGCUGAAGUAGGUAUUUUAGAUAAGAAUGACAUUUCACAAAUAUCUUCGUUUGUGAACAUUUGAAUAAUUUUCUAAUCUCCUUUGUAAACUACUGUUAAUGUGGAAUAAUUGAAAGCACAGUGUAUUUGGAAUGGAAUAUAAUUUCUCAGCUCUG